UCACAUCAGCAAUCUGAAGCCAUUUCAUGCAAAUCUAGCAGAUGCAAGUAAAAGCAAGCCAUAAGAACUGCCAUCAGCACCAAGCCACCAUCACAGCACUGAAUAGAGGAAAUUUUGGCAAGGAAGAUGACAACAAUUAACCAACGACCGACAUAGGAGUUCCUAAUGAAAUGGGAAGGUUUGGGGUCGGAUGAGAUCACUUGGGAGAAAGAAGC
rnacentral:lncRNA from 1 species